rnacentral:lncRNA from 1 species
AUUUAGCCCUCUCAGAAAAAAAAAAAAAAAAAUCCACAAAUAACUCAAUAAAAUUUAUACUUGCAAGAUUGACUCUGUCCCGCCACGUAAACGCCACGUGAACGUGACAAUGUAGGUUAAGUUGAGCAUGGUACUGAAUCAUUCACCGUAUUUGGAUAUUGUGAAUGGUUCACCGUAUCCUUCCUAAACAUCAAACUCCAAAUAUUACUUAUACCGUGAUAGAAAAAUAACGGAAUACGGUGAAUCAUUCACUGUAUCCAAAUACAGUAAAUGAUUCAUCAUAUUCAACUUAACUUACACCCUAUCCACGCCCACGUGGUGCUCGCGUGGCGAGGAUAAGAUCAAUCUUGUAAAUAUAAAUUUUGUUGGAUAUUUUUUAACAAAAAAAAAUUUUUUGAAGGGGUUAAAUGCAAAAAAAAAUUAAAAAAAAAUAAAAAAAAAAAAACCUAAAUA